CUGGAUACAAAAUAGCACUCCAACUCCCGAACUGGAACCUCCCAAAUAGCUGCUAGCAGACGAACAGGAAAAGCAGACAAUCAGCUUACACUCCUGGCAAUCAGUCUCUAACAGCAUACAGUGAAUCCCCCCAAGAACGAGACAAGGCUCUGUGUUGAGGGUCAAGCAGUGGUCUGAGGUGCUGGCACACCCAGCUUGGUUUUUAUUACAGCCUUUCACAUACAGGACCGCCCAGAGGGAGGUAUAAAACAACCAAUCACAUAUCAGUUACAUCCCACAUAUUCCCUCCCCUUAUCCUGAGAGGAAACUCAAUUACACAUACAGUUAAAACAUACUUUCUACCCAACUUUCAUAACUCUAAAACCAUACAUCACAUUCACAUAAAAUUACAUAUUCACAAUCAAUCCA